AACCUAGCACACCUGCGGUGUGUACCUGCGGAGGGAUCAUUAUUGAAUUAAAUCUAGGGUUGGCAGUUGCUGGUCCCUCCAUUUAUUUGGGGGGGCAAAUUUUAUGUGCACGCCUUCUCUAUUUUUUUCAUCCACACACACCUGUGCACUUGUGAGAUGGAGAGGGGAGUGGGUUGAACCCGCCCCUUUCCAUCUAUACACUCACUACACAAACUCAUUUGUUUUAAACUGAAUGUAAUU
rnacentral:misc_RNA from 1 species